CGCUGAGUUGCUGGGGUUUGUUGUUGUAUUCGGGCAGUUCGAGUGCCUUCUGCUAGAAGGCGGAUAGGGAGAGGCUGGAGAGAUGGAGGCGCCUCUGGUUAAAAGCCACCGCGCGGAGCGAGCGGCGACCCCCCGGGACUCCUGCCGCGUGCCCGUCCCCGUCCCCGUCCCCGGCGGCCUCGCGCUCCUGGCCUUCCAGGACUAGGCGAACAGGGCGCCGAGCCGUCUCAGCUCCCGGGGAAAGCCCGAUCCCGCCGGGCACCUGCUCCCGCAGCCGGUCCCUGUGCUCUCCCCGGCGGGCAGAGGAUGAGCUGCGGGGGUCCAAACCACUAGUCACUCCAAAGAGUGUCCGUGGCCACUGAAUGUUUCCAGAAGACGUGGCGCUGCACCAAAAGGAGACAGGGUCCUAGGAUCGAGCCCCACAUCGGGC